AGAGUUUGAUCCUGGCUCAGAAUGAACGCUGGCGGCAGGCCUAACACAUGCAAGUCGAACGGGUGCCUUCGGGUGCUAGUGGCGGACGGGUGAGUAACGCGUGGGAACAUACCCUUUGGUACGGAAUAGCCUCGGGAAACUGAGAGUAAUACCGUAUGUGCCCUUCGGGGGAAAGAUUUAUCGCCAAAGGAUUGGCCCGCGUUGGAUUAGGUAGUUGGUGGGGUAAUGGCCUACCAAGCCGACGAUCCAUAGCUGGUUUGAGAGGAUGAUCAGCCACACUGGGACUGAGACACGGCCCAGACUCCUACGGGAGGCAGCAGUGGGGAAUCUUAGACAAUGGGGGAAACCCUGAUCUAGCCAUGCCGCGUGAUCGAUGAAGGCCUUAGGGUUGUAAAGAUCUUUCAGAUGGGAAGAUAAUGACGGUACCAUCAGAAGAAGCCCCAGCUAACUCCGUGCCAGCAGCCGCGGUAAUACGGAGGGGGCUAGCGUUGUUCGGAAUUACUGGGCGUAAAGGGCGCGUAGGCGGCCGAUUAAGUUAGAUGUGAAAGUCCUGGGCUCAACCUGGGGACUGCAUUUAAUACUGGUUGGCUUGAAUUCGGGAGAGGAUAGCGGAAUUCCCAGUGUAGAGGUGAAAUUCGUAGAUAUUGGGAAGAACACCGGUGGCGAAGGCGGCUAUCUGGACCGACAUUGACGCUGAGGCGCGAAAGCGUGGGGAGCAAACAGGAUUAGAUACCCUGGUAGUCC
rnacentral:rRNA from 1 species